GGCCCCAUAGCUCAAUUUGGCAGAGCAAGCGACUCUUAAUCGUUAGGUUGCAGGUUCGAGUCCUGCUGGGGUCA
rnacentral:tRNA from 1 species